rnacentral:tRNA from 1 species
GGGGUUGUGGCUCAGCGGUAGAGCGCUCGCCUAGCAUGUGCGGGGCGAGGGGGCUGGGUUCGAUCUUCAGCACCACA